UUUUUUUUUUUAUUUUUCAAGAAAAUGAAACCUAAUAUUACUUUGAACAUUUUUUUUCUAAAAAGCGAUUUUCUCGUAUGGAUUUUGUCAUAGAAUUGCUACACACUAUAUAUUUUUAUUUAAUGACCACAUGAUAAACCUUAGUUAUAAAAAACAAAAAUACCCAGAAGAAAUGUAAUUGAUACAUGCAUACAGUUAAUUAUGAUAAUAUAGAUAAUAUAAUAGAAAGUGACUAUUCUGAUAGCAUAAUAGAAAUUGACCUGAGUGAUAAUUUGGAUGAUACCAAAUGAAACAACAAUCAUGCAUCUUAUGUGAAAUAAUUGAUUAUGGAGAAUGUGGGUACCGCAUUCGAACAGCUGUUGGAUUCUUAAAUGGAUAUUUUGUGGAGAAAUUAAAUUGAAACUGUUAAAGACACGUCUUUAUUUGCAGCAGCAGUUUCUGAGCUUCAACUUUCACUAUGUGAAGCUUUUAACAAAAUUAUAGUCAGGGUUCUCUUUCAUGUAAAUACAAGGAGGGGUAGUAGCACUUCUAAAUGUGAAUGCUAAAAAGAUGUUGUGUAAUUACCAAAGGCAAUAUUUCACUCACAUACUCAAACAAAUGAUAAAUAACUAUUUUUGUAUUUUGUAAAUAAGUAUAAAAGGAGAUGUGGUAUGAUUGCCAAUCAGACAACUCUCCAAAAGAGA
rnacentral:lncRNA from 1 species